rnacentral:lncRNA from 1 species
UCCGUGCAUUGAUCCCUUUAGAUUCUGUUCACGUGAAGUACAGCUGUCGAGUUGAACUGAGAAAUUGCCUGGUUAAAUAUUAGCAACGCUAAAGUACCUUUAUAAUAACGAAAAAUGUAUUUGGCAACCGUGUGGCAGAUUGCGAAACUGCCACACGCAUCUAGCGCCGUCAGUUUCCCCCUGAUCUCCUUCCUUCCCUGCACGUCCUCUUGAUUUCUUUCCUUUCCCGCAUGCCUCCCGAUCUCCUUCCUUUUCCGCACGACCUCCCCCGAUUUCUUUCCUUUCCCGCACGCCCUCCCCGAUUUUAUCGGGCACACCCGCUCGUGCCUUCCUAAUUUUCGUAAUCGUCAAUUAUGGCCCACGCGCCUUCCCGAUUUUCAACAAAAAUAAUGCUUGGACUAGGAUUUGAUCUCUGUUCUGCAGGUAAUCAACAAAGGGAGCUAACCACCUCACCGAUGACACUCAUUGUUGAGCAAGCUAAGGGAAAUACUGUUUUUGACAUGUUCGUGGUAACUUUGAUCAUUGGGAAUAAAUUUGUUGAACCCGCCCCCGGUAAUUUCUGUAAAUAGCACGAUAACAUUCACGCCAUAGACCUGAUAAUUUAGAUACAAACAUCAUGGUAACUUUAACCAUUGAGGAAGACAAAUGUGAAAAGAUACUCGAUAAUUUAUGUAUAAAUAGAUGGUAAUAUACGCAGCGCACAUCUGAUAACUGAGGUAGAAACACCAUGGUAACUUUGACCGUAGGGAUUUUUUUUGAAAAGAUACUCCGGCAUCUUCUAUGUAAAUAGCACGGUAGUAUACCUCCCUCCCCUGGCAUUUUUAUGUGUAAAUAGCAUGAAAACAUAUGCACUGCGAUAACUAAACACCAUGAUAAGUUUUUGACCCAUGAGGGGAGAGGGAUUUGCUAAAACAUACCCCUGAUAAAUUUUGUGUAAAUAGCAUGAUAUUUUAAGCAUUACGGGCUUGAUAGGUUACCUAGAAUCACCAUGAUAACUUUUUGUCCCGGAAAAAAGUUGUUCAAAACAUCCUCAAUAUUUUUUGUGUAAAUAACAUGAUAAUAUAAGCACCGCAUAACCGAUAACUUGCAAUAUAAACAUGAUGAUAACUUUUUUAUCAAAGGAAACUAAGUUAUUAAAAACAUACACUCGCCUCGCGCGUGGGCCUCUUGGAUGAACAGAAUGCAUGGCGUGCCACAAGAAAGUCACAUAAUAUUUAGUGUCAUGAGGGCACACGUGCUAUAGGCAUGAUAAGUUACGCAAAAACUUCGUGGUAAUUUUUAACCUAUGGAAAAAGCUACCGAAACACACCCAGGUUUUUAGGUGCAAGUACCAUGAUAAUAUACGAACUGUAGACCCGGUAACUCAUGUACAAUCCCUCAUGAUAACUUUGACCGGGGGGAGGUUGAUGUACAUAUACCCUGAUAACUUAUGUGUAAGUAUCACGGUAUUUUACACAUUGAAGACCUUAUAACUUGUGUACAAAACACAGUGGUAACUUUGAAGGGAUGUAGUUUUUGAAACAUAGAUACCUGGUACAUUCUAUGUAAAUAGCACGGUAAGUUAUGCAACACAGGCCUGAUAACUUGCAUACAAAUAUCAUGGUAACUUUGUCCUGAGGAGAAAUCAUGUGGUAGACGUGAAGAAGUGACAGUUUUCUCAGGGGUGGGUGCCCGAGAUGUACGGGAGAAGCGGGUUUCUCGGGCGAGCCUACAGGGUCGUUUGGGAGGAGGCGAGGUCAAAGGAUGAGGAAUCGUGUGGUACUUUAAAAUGAAAAAAGUAGAGGUGUGGCAGUUUUGCUUAUAUGGCACACGUGUGCCAAAUAUCACAGUCCUUAUAAUAAAUACAAAAAUGCCUGCAAGGUUAAUAUUUUCUUCGUCAUUCUGGAUUCUGAACUGGUGUUGAUUGUUCAUUGUUUAGACAGUGUCUGUUCACAUGAAGUGCAGAUGGCCACGUAAGCAUAUUAUAACGGGCAACUUUCACCGAGUUAGAUAUUAUUUUUGUGGUACCAUUCAAUCAUAUGUGUCGAAGAUAUACAGCCAUUGAAGUGAACAUGGACCAAUUAGAUAUUUAACCUGAACCCAAGUAUAAAUAGCAGACUUGCCUGUAUGGUUGAUAUUGUUGACAAGACUAUUGAUAGUUCACAUCUAAUGGGUUACUAGGUUUCAUUUGGUAUGUACAAACCAUUAUCUGUAAUUUUUUUUCUGCACACAACACCUAUUGAUUGCGGGGUUACAAGACUUUAAACUUAUCAAUAUCGAAUGUCUGUGCAUUUCACAAAAG